rnacentral:rRNA from 1 species
GUGGGGAAUAUUGGGCAAUGGGCGAAAGCCUGACCCAGCAACGCCGCGUGAAGGAAGAAGGUCUUCGGAUCGUAAACUUCUAUCCUUGGUGAAGAUAAUGACGGUAGCCGAGAAGGAAGCCCCGGCUAACUACGUGCCAGCAGCCGCGGUAAUACGUAGGGGGCAAGCGUUGUCCGGAAUGAUUGGGCGUAAAGGGCGCGUAGGCGGCCUGGUAAGUCUGGAGUGAAAGUCCUGCUUUUAAGGUGGGAAUUGCUUUGGAUACUGUCGGGCUUGAGUGCAGGAGAGGUAAGUGGGAUUCCCGGUGUAGCGGUGAAAUGCGUAGAGAUCGGGAAGAACACCAGUGGCGAAGGCGACUUACUGGACUGUAACUGACGCUGAGGCGCGAAAGUGUGGGGAGCAAACAGGAUUAGAUACCCUGGUAGUCC